rnacentral:rRNA from 2 species
UGGGGAAUUUUGGACAAUGGGCGAAAGCCUGAUCCAGCAAUGCCGCGUGUGUGAAGAAGGCCUUCGGGUUGUAAAGCACUUUUGUCCGGAAAGAAAACGCCGUGGUUAAUACCCGUGGCGGAUGACGGUACCGGAAGAAUAAGCACCGGCUAACUACGUGCCAGCAGCCGCGGUAAUACGUAGGGUGCAAGCGUUAAUCGGAAUUACUGGGCGUAAAGCGUGCGCAGGCGGUCCGCUAAGACAGAUGUGAAAUCCCCGGGCUUAACCUGGGAACUGCAGUUGUGACUGGCGGGCUAGAGUAUGGCAGAGGGGGGUAGAAUUCCACGUGUAGCAGUGAAAUGCGUAGAGAUGUGGAGGAAUACCGAUGGCGAAGGCAGCCCCCUGGGCCAAUACUGACGCUCAUGCACGAAAGCGUGGGGAGCAAACAGG